rnacentral:rRNA from 1 species
AUUGAACGCUGGCGGCAUGCCUUACACAUGCAAGUCGAACGGCAGCACGGGAGCAAUCCUGGUGGCGAGUGGCGAACGGGUGAGUAAUAUAUCGGAACGUGCCCAGUCGUGGGGGAUAACGUAGCGAAAGCUACGCUAAUACCGCAUACGAUCUAUGGAUGAAAGCGGGGGAUCGCAAGACCUCGCGCGAUUGGAGCGGCCGAUAUCAGAUUAGGUAGUUGGUGAGGUAAAGGCUCACCAAGCCGACGAUCUGUAGCUGGUCUGAGAGGACGACCAGCCACACUGGGACUGAGACACGGCCCAGACUCCUACGGGAGGCAGCAGUGGGGAAUUUUGGACAAUGGGCGCAAGCCUGAUCCAGCAAUGCCGCGUGCAGGAUGAAGGCCUCGGUGUAAC